rnacentral:lncRNA from 1 species
GAAAGCGCAGCUUUUAAAGGGCUGAAACCAACCGGCCGUAGCUGGAGGGGAUUCAGCUGUCCCGCAGAGGAACACAGCCCCGCUGUGCGACGUUUGCUGCAGAGGUAUCAGAGUUUAAGAGUAUUUUUCCUGGCUGUACUCCGACAGCCUGUUCCUGUGCUGGCCCCGCAGGAGCCAGGCAGGGAACUGGGGCAUCACUGGAAAAGAAGUAAAGCGCCAUGAAAUGCUGGUGAGCUGGAAAUGACACGCAGAUCAAUGAAGCAGCUCUGUGGUUUUAAAGCUGGUCAGAAAAAGCUGAACACACAGCGCAGCCAUGGGCACAAACCUUUGUGGCUCUGGGUUCAAGGCCUAUGGCAGUGGUGUGGUGGCAGCACCUUUCUGGAGAGCACGGGGCUCACAGGGCACACAUCCAUAAGGAGUAGAGUUGGACCUGAAACCUUGGGAGCACUUCGUAUCCAGUGACAUGAAUACCUGCAACAAGUCUUCUGGGAAGAACAGAUACCACCAACUGCUCCUGCUUUUCUUGAUUACCUGGAAGACCAGAGCCCUACACCUCCAUGGCUUACAGGCUCCUCAGAAGUCACUGCUAAAGGGCAUGAAAGCCUACCACAACUUCCACGUGAUGGUGGAAAAUUCUUUGUCCCGAUUUCUGAAGUACACCUGCACUCAUUUACAAUGGCAGUCAAGCUGUGUUAGAACAUUCCCCUUCUCCUUUGGUAUGCCUGCUUGGCCUUUAUCUGAAUUGUUGGUUGAGAGAAAGAGAAUACAAUGUUUUUUUCAUGUGUAGUUUUUCUUUUUUCUUUUUUUUUUCUUUUUCCCAUUUAAAGAGAACACUGCAUAUAUAAGAAGCAAACACCAGAGGACUUGCAUAUAGCAAAAAAUAAAAGAGAAAAAAUCAAUACA